CGGACGGGUGAGUAACGCGUGGGUAACCUGCCUUGUACAGGGGGAUAACAGUUGGAAACGGCUGCUAAUACCGCAUAAGCGCACGGCAUCGCAUGAUGCAGUGUGAAAAACUCCGGUGGUAUAAGAUGGACCCGCGUUGGAUUAGCUAGUUGGUGAGGUAACGGCCCACCAAGGCGACGAUCCAUAGCCGACCUGAGAGGGUGGCCGGCCACAUUGGGACUGAGACACGGCCCAA
rnacentral:rRNA from 1 species